UCGAGAAUUUUUCACAAUGGGCGCAAGCCUGAUGGAGCGACGCCGCGUGGGGGAUGAAUGGCUUCGGCCCGUAAACCCCUGUCAUUUGCGAUCAAACCUUGUUAUUUAAAAGAUGACGAGCUGAUAGUAGCGAAAGAGGAAGGGACGGCUAACUCUGUGCCAGCAGCCGCGGUAAUACAGAGGUCCCAAGCGUUGUUCGGAUUCACUGGGCGUAAAGGGUGCGUAGGUGGCGAGGUAAGUCGGAUGUGAAAGCUCGGAGCUCAACUCCGAAAUGGCAUUGGAAACUACCUUGCUUGAGGGUCGGAGGGGGGACUGGAAUACUUGGUGUAGCAGUGAAAUGCGUAGAUAUCAAGUGGAACACCAGUGGCGAAGGCGAGUCCCUGGACGACUCCUGACACUGAGGCACGAAAGCUAGGGGAGCAAACA
rnacentral:rRNA from 1 species